AACGUAAUAGGGCAAACUUACUGAAAGGUAAGGACGCAAAGCCACGGGCCUACUGUCAUCUUCCCAAUGACUAUGGCAGCCGGGUUGCCGAA
rnacentral:ncRNA from 1 species